GCCGACGUGGCGGAAUGGUAGACGCGCCUGGUUCAGGUCCAGGUGGGACGUAUGAGCCCGUGGGAGUUCGAGUCUCCCCGUCGGUA
rnacentral:tRNA from 2 species